CAGUGAGCCAAGAUCAUGCCACUGCACUCCAGCUUGGGUGAUAGAGUGAGAUCCUGUCUUGGAAAAAAAAAAAAAUUGUCACUGCUGGUGUGGUGGGGCACCACCUGUGGUCCCAGUUGCCUGCAGAGGCUGAGGUGGUCGGAUUGCUUGAGCCUGGGAGGUCAAGGCUGCAGUAAGCUAUGAUGACACCACUGCACUCCAGCCUGGGCAUCAGAGCAAGACCCUGUCUCAAAAGAAAUUUUGUCUCAAAUUUUAAAAUAAUGUAUUAAAACAUGAAAAAAGUAACAACGGUGUCUCUGUUUUAAAUCAAGGAGAAGGACAUUGUCAUCUUCAUUAGAUUGUUUAUAUUCAGCUUGGUGUCAGACUAUUGUGAUGGACAUUCUCGGGGAAGGUGAUUUGCCGCACCACCAGGAUCUACAUCUGUCUCUGUAGAUGGUCACCUUUCUUCUUGAGGAAUCGCCCCAGAACAGAGCACCAUAUUCCCCUAGGGCUGACUAUCACAUCUGUGGCUCAGUUGUCUCCAUCUGGACACUUCUCUGGAUGCAUCCUCUCUUCAGUUUUGGCUUCUAUUAAGUUUGUGUGUUAAGGAGGAACCCAAAUGGAAUCAAGGAGUGGAGCAUAAAAAUCGGUUUCUUAUGCCUCUGCACUUCACCUUUCUCCUGUUCAUCCCACUCUGCCAUCAUUGCCUGCUUGCCUCCGAAUUGCCCACGACAGUGCAGUCUGGGCACGGACCACACCUCCCAUGCAGCGGUGGCUUUGUGAUCUGUCCACCUGGGUAAGCUGAACCGCACUUCCCAGAAUUCCCUUCCCGUGUGUUUCCGGUUAGAGUGGAGCACAGAGGAGAAACUUGUGGAAGGUUUGGAGGUGGGAAGUGAAGCAGCAGUCAUUUUACAGCUCACACGAAUUGUGGCUUCUCUGCUGGCUCACCUCAGCAGAGGCAGGAACUGACACGGGGCCAGGUGCCACCGGUGGCUCAUGCCUGUAAUCCCAGCACUUUGAGAGGCCAAGGCAGGUGGAUUGCUUGAGACCGGGAGUUCAAGACCAGCCUGGGCAACAUGGCAAAACCCUUCUCUACAAAAAAUACAAACAUUAGCCAGGUGUGGUGGCUCAUGCCUGUAGUCCCAGCUACUUGGGAGGCUGAGGUGGGAGGAUUUGCUUGAGACCAGGAAGGUCAAGGCUGCAGGGAGCUGAGAUUGGGCCAUGACACUCCAUCCUGGGCAACAGAGUGAGACCCUGUCUCAAAAAAACAAAAAAGAACUGACACAGACGGAUGUGUCUGCCUUCAAGGGCUCCUGCUUGGGCUUGUCCUCCCUUACUUUACAUCCGUCUGUCCUUCCCGAUUGUCUGCAGAGCCUGCUUAAGCAG
rnacentral:lncRNA from 1 species